UGGGGAAUAUUGCACAAUGGGCGCAAGCCUGAUGCAGCCAUGCCGCGUGUAUGAAGAAGGCCUUCGGGUUAUAAAGUACUUUCAGCGAGGAGGAAGGCGUUGUGGUUAAUAACCGCAGCGAUUGACGUUACUCGCAGAAGAAGCACCGGCUAACUCCGUGCCAGCAGCCGCGGUAAUACGGAGGGUGCAAGCGUUAAUCGGAAUUACUGGGCGUAAAGCGCACGCAGGCGGUCUGUCAAGUCGGAUGUGAAAUCCCCGGGCUCAACCUGGGAACUGCAUCCGAAACUGGCAGGCUAGAGUCUUGUAGAGGGGGGUAGAAUUCCAGGUGUAGCGGUGAAAUGCGUAGAGAUCUGGAGGAAUACCGGUGGCGAAGGCGGCCCCCUGGACAAAGACUGACGCUCAGGUGCGAAAGCGUGGGGAGCAAACA
rnacentral:rRNA from 1 species